rnacentral:rRNA from 1 species
GAUUAAGUUAUUAAGGGCGCACGGUGGAUGCCUUGGCACUAGAAGCCGAAGAAGGACGUUACUAACGACGAUAUGCUUUGGGGAGCUGUAAGUACGCUUUGAUCCAGAGAUUUCCGAAUGGGGAAACCCAGCAUGAGUUAUGUCAUGUUAUCCGCAUAUGAAUACAUAGUAUGUGAGAAGGCACACCCGGAGAACUGAAACAUCUUAGUACCCGGAGGAAGAGAAAGAAAACUCGAUUCCCUGAGUAGCGGCGAGCGAAACGGGAAGAGCCCAAACCAAUAGGCUUGCCUAUUGGGGUUGUAGGACACUCAAUACGGAGUUACAAAGGAAAUGAUUAGACGAAUGGUUUUGGAAAAGCCAACCAUAGAAGGUAAAGGUCCUGUAGUCGAAAGUCAUUUCUCUCCUGAGUGGAUCCUGAGUACGGCGGAACACGUGAAAUUCCGUCGGAAUCUGGGAGGACCAUCUCCCAAGGCUAAAUACUCUCUAGUGACCGAUAGUGAACCAGUACCGUGAGGGAAAGGUGAAAAGCACCCCGGAAGGGGAGUGAAAUAGAACCUGAAACCGUGUGCUUACAAAUAGUCAGAGCCCGUUAAUGGGUGAUGGCGUGCCUUUUGUAGAAUGAACCGGCGAGUUACGAUUUGAUGCAAGGUUAAGCAGUAAAUGUGGAGCCGUAGCGAAAGCGAGUCUGAAUAGGGCGAAUGAGUAUCUGGUCGUAGACCCGAAACCAAGUGAUCUACCCAUGUCCAGGUUGAAGUUCAGGUAACACUGAAUGGAGGACCGAACCGACUUACGUUGAAAAGUGAGCGGAUGAGGUGUGGGUAGCGGAGAAAUUCCAAUCGAACUUGGAGAUAGCUGGUUCUCUCCGAAAUAGCUUUAGGGCUAGCCUCAAGUGAUGAUUAUUGGAGGUAGAGCACUGUUUGGACGAGGGGCCCCUCUCGGGUUACCGAAUUCAGACAAACUCCGAAUGCCAAAUAAUUUAACUUGGGAGUCAGACUAUGGGUGAUAAGGUCCGUAGUCGAAAGGGAAACAGCCCAGACCACCAGCUAAGGUCCCAAAAUAUAUGUUAAGUGGAAAAGGAUGUGGCGUUGCCCAGACAACUAGGAUGUUGGCUUAGAAGCAGCCAUCAUUUAAAGAGUGCGUAAUAGCUCACUAGUCGAGUGACACUGCGCCGAAAAUGUACCGGGGCUAAACAUAUUACCGAAGCUGUGGAUUAUCCGUAAGGAUAAUGGUAGGAGAGCGUUCUAAACGUGUCGAAGCAUGAUCGUAAGGACAUGUGGAAUGUUUAGAAGUGAGAAUGCCGGUGUGAGUAGCGAAAGAUGGGUGAGAAUCCCAUCCACCGAUUGACUAAGGUUUCCAGAGGAAGGCUCGUCCGCUCUGGGUUAGUCGGGACCUAAGCCGAGGCCGAUAGGCGUAGGCGAUGGAUAACAGGUAGAUAUUCCUGUACCACCUAUGAUUGUUUGAACGAUGGGGGGACGCAGUAGGAUAGGCGAAGCGUGCUGUUGGAGUGCACGUCCAAGCAAUAAGACUGAGUGUUAGGCAAAUCCGGCACUCGUAAGGUUGAGUUGUGAUGGGGAGUUGGAUCAUGUAUCCGACGAGUCGUUGAUUUCACACUGCCAAGAAAAGCCUCUAGUUAGAAAAUAGGUGCCCGUACCGCAAACCGACACAGGUAGUCAAGAUGAGAAUUCUAAGGUGAGCGAGCGAACUCUCGUUAAGGAACUCGGCAAAAUGACCCCGUAACUUCGGGAGAAGGGGUGCUUUUUAGGGUGCAAGCCUUGAAGAGCCGCAGUGAAUAGGCCCAAGCGACUGUUUAUCAAAAACACAGGUCUCUGCUAAACCGUAAGGUGAUGUAUAGGGGCUGACGCCUGCCCGGUGCUGGAAGGUUAAGAGGAGUGGUUAGCUUCUGCGAAGCUACGAAUCGAAGCCCCAGUAAACGGCGGCCGUAACUAUAACGGUCCUAAGGUAGCGAAAUUCCUUGUCGGGUAAGUUCCGACCCGCACGAAAGGCGUAACGAUUUGGGCACUGUCUCAACGAGAGACUCGGUGAAAUCAUAGUACCUGUGAAGAUGCAGGUUACCCGCGACAGGACGGAAAGACCCCGUGGAGCUUUACUGUAGCCUGAUAUUGAAAUUUGGCACAGCUUGUACAGGAUAGGUAGGAGCCUUUGAAACGUGAGCGCUAGCUUACGUGGAGGCGCUGGUGGGAUACUACCCUGGCUGUGUUGACUUUCUAACCCGCACCAUUUGAUCAUGGUGGGAGACAGUGUCAGGCGGGCAGUUUGACUGGGGCGGU